AAAUCUGCCGCCUAACAUAAGCUGCGGUUCGAAAAUCCUGACAGCACAGGGCUUCCUGGGCUCUGCAGAGCAAACUGGAAAGAGCUGGGAUCCAGGCACUAUGUUCUCUGAAGAACUGUGGCUGGAAAAUGAGAAAAAAUCUCCUCCCUGGUUCGAAGGGCUGCCCUCACACACAACGACAACCACUUCAAUUAUGAGAAGACACACAACUUUAAGGUCCACACGUUCCGAGGCCCACACUGGUGUGAAUAUUGUGCCAAUUUCAUGUGGGGGCUCAUCGCCCAAGGGGUCCGGUGCUCAGACUGUGGAUUGAACGUACACAAACAGUGUUCCAAGCACGUUCCCAAUGACUGCCAACCUGAUCUCAAGAGGAUCAAGAAAGUGUACUGUUGUGACCUCACAACACUUGUGAAGGCUCACAACACUCAGAGACCCAUGGUGGUAGACAUAUGCAUUCGGGAAAUUGAAGCAAGAGGAUUAAAAUCGGAAGGCCUUUACAGAGUCUCUGGGUUCACUGAACACAUUGAAGAUGUCAAAAUGGCAUUUGACAGA
rnacentral:lncRNA from 1 species